AGGAUGUGCUGCUUGACUAUGUAAAGCUAAAGAAGAGGAAGAAAUCACGAUUUUAACAGAUUUCCCAGGAUGUGCUGUUGAAUUAUGUAAAGCUUAAGAAGUGGAAGAAAUCACCAUUUUGACAGGUCUCCCAGGAUGUGCUGUUUAACUAUCUAAGGCUAAAGAAGAGGAAGAAAUCACCAUUUUGACAGGUUUGAUUAAU